rnacentral:rRNA from 1 species
UACGUAGGGUGCAAGCGUUAUCCGGAAUUAUUGGGCGUAAAGAGCUCGUAGGCGGUUUGUCGCGUCUGCUGUGAAAACUGGGGGCUCAACCCCCAGCCUGCAGUGGGUACGGGCAGACUAGAGUGCGGUAGGGGAGAUUGGAAUUCCUGGUGUAGCGGUGGAAUGCGCAGAUAUCAGGAGGAACACCAGUAGCGAAGGCGACACUCUGGGCCGGAACUGACGCUGAGGAGCGAAAGCGUGGGGAGCAAACAGG